ACUCAAAUGAAUUGACGGGGGCCCGCACAAGCGGUGGAGCAUGUGGUUUAAUUCGACGCAACGCGAAGAACCUUACCUGGGCUUGAACUACUGGUAGUAAGAUUUCCGAAAGGAAAGAUGACCCGUAAAGUCGGAUGCCAGCAGAGGUGCUGCAUGGCUGUCGUCAGCUCGUGUCGUGAGAUGUUGGGUUAAGUCCCGCAACGAGCGCAACCCUUAUCCUAUGUUGCCAAGUCCGUAAUGGACGGAACUCUUAGGAAACCGCCUCGGAUAACGGGGAGGAAGGUGGGGAUGACGUCAAGUCACCAUGGCCUUUAUGUCCAGGGCUACACACGUGCUACAAUGGCCGGUACAGCGAGCAGCUAAUCCGCAAGGAGGAGCAAAUCUCUAAAAGCCGGCCCCAGUUCAGAUAGUGGGCUGCAAUUCGCCCACUUGAAGGCGGAAUCGCUAGUAAUCGGAGAUCAGCAGGCUCCGGUGAAUACGUUCCCGGGCCUUGUACACACCGCCCGU
rnacentral:rRNA from 1 species